CAUGAGGAUAAAGGCAGAGAUGAGAGC
rnacentral:piRNA from 1 species